GAUGAAGAACGCAGCGAAAUGCGAUAAGUAAUGUGAAUUGCAGAAUUCAGUGAAUCAUCGAAUCUUUGAACGCACCUUGCGCCCUUUGGCUAUUCUGAAGGGCAUGCCUGUUUGAGUAUCGUGAACACCUCAACUCUCAUGGUCUGCCAUGAUGAGCUUGGACUUUGGGGGUCUUGCUGGCCUACUGUCAGCUCCUCUCAAAUGAAUCAGCUUACCAGUGUUUGGUGGCACCACAGGUGUGAUAACUAUCUACGCUUGUGGUUUUCUGCCAGGUAACCUCCAGUGAUGGAGGUUCGCUGCAGCUCACAAAUGUCUCUCCUCAGCGAGGACAGCUUUUUGAACGUUUGAUCUCAAAUCAGGUAGGACUACCCGCUGAACUUAAGCAUAUCAAUAAGCGGAGGA
rnacentral:misc_RNA from 1 species